GGAGUAACGACGGGAACUCCAGCGCGCGACCCAGCAGCGAUUCUGACAGCGGCCCGCGGGAACUUCUGGCAAGGACGGCAGAUGGCACUGGUGGCCGCCGAGCUAGCCGUGUCCAUCCGAAGGGUUCGGAAAGCAAGCAAUCACCGGCCGCUACGCAAGCAAAGCUGUCUGCCUCUGUCAGCCCGAAAGUGGCACACGAGACGUAAUUCGGCGGAGAUAAAAACGGCCAGAAAAUGAAUUUCACCCGAAAAACAAGAAACAAAAACGCCCCUGCAAGUUUCCAGGAUUGACGGACACCCGUUAAGAGUUCCGCAGAAUUGGCUUCCAGAAAGAGAGAACUGCUUCGACGCGAGACAACUCUUCUGUGUCAGUUGUGUCUGGGAGUUGCCUUUACGGGAACUUAUUCAACACUAAUUAGAAUGGCUGACAGUGCUACACGUGGUAUCUGCGGGCUGCGAAGAGACCACAGACCACCUCUUGUGCCACUGUUCUCGAUUUCAUAUACAAAUACAAUCAAUGUACAAUGAACUGCGGCGACUAGACGAUCGUCCAC
rnacentral:lncRNA from 1 species